rnacentral:rRNA from 1 species
AGCGAACGCUGGCGGCAGGCCUAACACAUGCAAGUCGAACGGAUCCUUCGGGAUUAGUGGCGGACGGGUGAGUAACACGUGGGAACGUGCCCUUUGGUUCGGAACAACUCAGGGAAACUUGAGCUAAUACCGGAUGUGCCCUUCGGGGGAAAGAUUUAUCGCCAUUGGAGCGGCCCGCGUCUGAUUAGCUAGUUGGUGAGGUAACGGCCCACCAAGGCGACGAUCAGUAGCUGGUCUGAGAGGAUGAUCAGCCACGCUGGGACUGAGACACGGCCCAGACUCCUACGGGAGGCAGCAGUGGGGAAUCUUGCGCAAUGGGCGAAAGCCUGACGCAGCCAUGCCGCGUGAAUGAUGAAGGUCUUAGGAUUGUAAAAUUCUUUCAGCGGGGACGAUAAUGACGGUACCCGCAGAAGAAGCUCCGGCUAACUUCGUG